GACAGAGGGUGCAAACGUUGCUCGGAAUUACUGGGCGUAAAGCGCGUGUAGGCGGACCACCAAGUCGGACGUGAAAGCCCUGAGCUCAACUCAGGAACUGCAUCCGAAACUGGCGGUCUGGAGUAGUGGAGAGGAAAGCAGAAUUCCUGGUGUAGAGGUGAAAUUCGUAGAUAUCAGGAGGAACACCGGUGGCGAAGGCGGCUUUCUGGACGGUAACUGACGCUGAGACGCGAAAGCGUGGGGAGCAAACAGG
rnacentral:rRNA from 1 species